UACGGAGGGGGCUAGCGUUGUUCGGAAUUACUGGGCGUAAAGUGCACGUAGGCGGCUUUGUAAGUUAGAGGUGAAAGCCCGGGGCUCAACUCCGGAACUGCCUUUAAGACUGCAUCGCUUGAACAUCGGAGAGGUAAGUGGAAUUCCGAGUGUAGAGGUGAAAUUCGUAGAUAUUCGGAAGAACACCAGUGGCGAAGGCGACUUACUGGACGAUUGUUGACGCUGAGGUGCGAAAGCGUGGGGAGCAAACAGG
rnacentral:rRNA from 1 species